rnacentral:lncRNA from 12 species
AUGAUUUUAACUGUGCCACGUUCAGAUUCUCCUUUCAACUCAUCUGUUCCUUCCAACAUGUUGUCAUUUCUCUGUUUGGAAAUCACAACCAUGAAACCUCAAACAUUUAUGGGUUAUGCUAACAGCUUCCCUUGGUGUAUUUUUAAUAGUCAUUGCUUUUAUUAUUACCAGAUGUCAAGAUCCCAAAUGAUAACAGAGCGACAGACUUUAAGGGCUGAGGAAGCAAGACGUGGCAGGCAGGUGCCUCCUCCGCCAGCCCGGGAGCUCGGGGCGCAGUCUCCCCCGUGGAGCCUCGGUGGGCCCCGGGCCAACGCCUCCGUUCCGGCCCGCAGGGCGCUGAGCCGAGAACCCGGUAAGGGGGGCCCAGAGUUGUGCACACAGACGCGGGAGACAGCGGCGGCUCCGGAGCUGCGGGGUCUGUGGGGCGAGAACUUUGGGCGCGUGUAAUGGGCCAUGAGCUCCUCCCGCAGCCCACUUUUCUGUGAGUGCUCAUCACUUUCUUGUUUGAGUCAUUAAUGCACCAAAGCCUCCUUUAUAAGGCAUCAGCCCAUUCGUCUGUCCCGAUCCAUAAGGAGCCGCUGCUCGCUUCCCUGGGAGGGGAAGGGCCUUUGCUUCCUGGUUUCAGAAAUCCGGCUGGUGACCCGGUUGCUCUGGCCCUGCAACCCCCCUUUGUUUCUUUUUGUUUUUGUUUGUUUGUGUGUGUGUGUGUGUUUUCCCCCUUUGUUUUGACUCUGGCCGGUCCACGACCACAGUGGCAGCCGCCUCGGCCAAGCGGGCCUUGACCUCUUCAGCAAGGGAAGGUGGCUUCGUUCCCCAAAGACGAAGCCAGGACCCGCGCAACCCUCGGGUGACGGCCUGCGGGAGGAUGCGGGCCGCGUGGCAGACGCCCUCGGGGGUGGAAAUGCAGCUUCCUCUGCGGUGCCAAGCGCUUCAGGGCGGGAGAUGCUGCCGCUGUCAACCACCUGCUGGGUGAUCAGCCCGAAGCGGGGGCAGAAGGCGGGUGCCCAGCGGUGUGGCUUCGCGGGCCCCACUUAGCGUCUGGCCUUGGUCGGCUGCCCGUCUCGUGGUGGUGCCCGGGGAUCCUAAUGCUGAUGCCCAAAGCUUGGAGGCGGGAGGUCUUCCCGGGCCCCAGACCAGUGCCCUGGGCUGGCACAGUAACUUGCAGGAGCGCUGGCCCCAGCACGGAUGGCAGCUAGCGCCUCGGCGGCCCCAGCACGUCCCCCACCUCAGCGGGGCCCUCCUUGGCGACACAAAGCCCACCCUCCCCCAGACGGGAGGCAACAGUUUCUCCAGAGCUGGGUUGGUCCCCAGAUGCCGGGGAAGGCCGCGUGCCCCGUUCUUGCCCCGCAGCCUCCCAGCCUUCCCGCCGAGGGCCGCGCGGAUCUGCUGCACCUGCGUGGGCUCCAUGUCGUCCGCUCCACGAUGGAGCAUUCGGGAUGAUCAUCCAAAAGUUGGGUGAUCUUAAGGCAGCAGUUGGGCCUCUAGGGCCCGCUGUCCUCCCCGGGCAUCGCGGCGGCGCGUGGGGAAGGCCAUACAGGGACAGGGACGCGUCACCCUCCCAGGAAGCCCGAGAGAGCCAUGGCCCGUGCACUUUUAAGCGGCCGAAGCCGCUGGUCUUCCCUGUCGGGAGCAGACCCUCCUGGCGCCCCGCGGAAGGCCCGACCCAGGCAAGCCUACAGAAGAGGCACCUCUGUCUUUGUCUAGUACCUUUGUGGCUUUGUCAUUGCAUUUAAAUCUUUAAUCCAACUGAAGAAGGUUUUGAUAAAUGGCGUGGUACUGAGAGGUCUGCCUUUACGUUUUUUCAAAUGUAUCAAUAAUAUAUAUUGAAUAAUCGUUUGCUUUUCCAUUGAAUUCCUAUCAAACUAAAAGUCUGAUUUUGGCCUUUUCUAUGUCAUAUUAAAUCUGCUAGAUUCUGCCUUGGUAUCAAACUAUUUUCAUUAUUGGGACUUUAUAAUUCAUUUUUAAUAUCUAAUAGGGAAAAGCACCCUUCACUUCUCUUCCUUUCUAAACUGUCCUCAUGGGACGCCUGGGGGGCUCAGCGGUUGAGCGUCUGCCUUCAGCUCAGGGCAUGACCCUGGGGUCCUGGGAUCGAGUCCCGCAUCGGGGCUCCUGCAGGGAGCCUGCUUCUCCCUCUGCUGUGUCUCUCUCUGCCUUUGUGUCUCUCAUGAAUAAAUAAAUAAAAUCUUUUAAAAAAUAAAAAUUA